UACGUAGGGGGCAAGCGUUAUCCGGAUUUAUUGGGCGUAAAGCGCGCGUAGGCGGCCGAUCGACGUCGGAUGUGAAAGCUCGGGACUCAACCCUGAGAGGCCAUUCGAUACGGGUCGGCUAGAGGCAGGUAGGGGAAGGUGGAAUUCCUGGUGUAGCGGUGAAAUGCGCAGAUAUCAGGAGGAACACCGGUGGCGAAGGCGGCCUUCUGGGCCACUACUGACGCUGAGAAGCGAAAGCAUGGGGAGCGAACAGG
rnacentral:rRNA from 1 species